rnacentral:tRNA from 1 species
UUAAUUGAAACCAAAAAAGAGGUAAAUUACUGUUAAUAAUUGUACUGAGAUUACUCUCCAAUUAAA